GUCCACGCCGUAAACGAUGGACACUAGGCGUCGGGGGGAGCGACCCUCCCGGUGCCGUCGCUAACGCAGUAAGUGUCUCGCCUGGGGAGUACGGCCGCAAGGCUGAAACUCAAAGGAAUUGACUGGGGCCCCGCACAAGCGGUGGAGCAUGUGGUUUAAUUCGAAGCAACGCGAAGAACCUUACCUGGGCUUGACAUGCACGGGAAAGCCGGUGUAAACAUCGGUUCCUCUUCGGAGUCCGUGCACAGGUGCUGCAUGGCUGUCGU
rnacentral:rRNA from 1 species